rnacentral:rRNA from 1 species
UACAGAGGUCCCAAGCGUUGUUCGGAUUCAUUGGGCGUAAAGGGUGCGUAGGCGGCGCGGUAAGUCGGGUGUGAAAUUUCGGGCGUAACUCCGAAACUGCAUUCGAUACUGCCGUGCUUGAGGACUGGAGAGGAGACUGGAAUUUACGGUGUAGCGGUGAAAUGCGUAGAUAUCGUAAGGAAGACCAGUGGCGAAGGCGGGUCUCUGGACAGUUCCUGACGCUGAGGCACGAAGGCCAGGGGAGCAAACGGG